GAUGAACGCUGGCGGCGUGCCUAAUACAUGCAAGUCGAGCGAACAGACGAGGAGCUUGCUCCUCUGACGUUAGCGGCGGACGGGUGAGAAACACGUGGAUAACCUACCUAUAAGACUGGGAUAACUUCGGGAAACCGGAGCUAAUACCGGAUAAUAUAUUGAACCGCAUGGUUCAAUAGUGAAAGACGGUUUUGCUGUCACUUAUAGAUGGAUCCGCGCCGCAUUAGCUAGUUGGUAAGGUAACGGCUUACCAAGGCAACGAUGCGUAGCCGACCUGAGAGGGUGAUCGGCCACACUGGAACUGAGACACGGUCCAGACUCCUACGGGAGGCAGCAGUAGGGAAUCUUCCGCAAUAGGCGAAAGCCUGACGGAGCAACGCCGCGUGAGUGAUGAAGGUCUUCGGAUCGUAAAACUCUGUUAUUAGGGAAGAACAAAUGUGUAAGUAACUAUGCACGUCUUGACGGUACCUAAUCAGAAAGCCACGGCUAACUACGUGC
rnacentral:rRNA from 1 species